UACGUAGGGAGCGAGCGUUGUCCGGAAUUACUGGGCGUAAAGGGUGCGUAGGCGGCAUGGCAAGUCAGAUGUGAAAUCCCCGGGCUUAACUCGGGAGUUGCAUUUGAAACUGCUGUGCUUGAGUGCAGGAGAGGAAAGCGGAAUUCCUAGUGUAGCGGUGAAAUGCGUAGAUAUUAGGAGGAACACCAGUGGCGAAGGCGGCUUUCUGGACUGUAACUGACGCUGAGGCACGAAAGCGUGGGGAGCAAACAGGAUUAGAUACC
rnacentral:rRNA from 1 species